UCCUACUGCAGGGCCAUGAGCGGUCCAUUACGCAGAUUAAGUAUAACCGCGAAGGAGACCUCCUCUUUACUGUGGCCAAGGACCCUAUCGUCAAUGUAUGGUACUCUGUGAAUGGUGAGAGGCUGGGCACCUACAUGGGCCAUACCGGAGCUGUGUGGUGUGUGGACGCUGACUGUAUCCUUAUUUUGGGUCUGAGUCCGUGUUGCUAGGGUCUGUCAGCGAUGGAGAGGCUGAGUUGGGAGUUGGGAGUUGGGGGUGCUGUUGAGGGCCUAGAGAACGAUACCUCCUACUCCCUGGUCUCUUCACUGACUGAGGAAACAUUCAGGACAAAUUCCAGUUCUGGAUAAGGAGGUAAGAGGGGUAGAAAGGCUCUUUGGGGCUGAACAGGGAGAUGAUUCACUUGGCAUCCCAAGAGGACAAGGGCUCGGGUGAACUUCGUCAUAUUUCUUAACAACUCUUCAGGGGACACCAAGCAUGUCCUCACUGGCUCAGCUGACAACAGCUGUCGUCUCUGGGACUGUGAAACAGGAAAGCAGCUGGCCCUUCUCAAGACCAAUUCGGCUGUCCGGACCUGCGGUUUUGACUUUGGGGGCAACAUCAUCAUGUUCUCCACGGACAAGCAGAUGGGCUACCAGUGCUUUGUGAGCUUUUUUGACCUGCGGGAUCCGAGCCAGAUUGACAACAAUGAGCCCUACAUGAAGAUCCCUUGCAAUGACUCUAAAAUCACCAGUGCUGUUUGGGGACCCCU
rnacentral:lncRNA from 1 species